rnacentral:rRNA from 1 species
UAGGGAAUCUUCCACAAUGGACGCAAGUCUGAUGGAGCAACGCCGCGUGAGUGAAGAAGGUUUUCGGACCGUAAAGCUCUGUUGUUGGUGAAGAAGGAUAGAGGUAGUAACUGGCCUUUAUUUGACGGUAAUCAACCAGAAAGUCACGGCUAACUACGUGCCAGCAGCCGCGGUAAUCGUAGGUGGCAAGCGUUGUCCGGAUUUAUUGGGCGUAAAGCGAGCGCAGGCGGAAGAAUAAGUCUGAUGUGAAAGCCCUCGGCUUAACCGAGGAAUUGCACCGGAAACUGUUUUCUUGAGUGCAGAAGAGGAGA